rnacentral:misc_RNA from 1 species
UGGCGCCUUAUAUGCAGCCGUAAGUAGGGUGCUGUUAGAGGACGACAGGAGUGAUCCCAUCUCCUACUAGAC